AACCGAGCGAAGGUAGCAUAGUCAUUAGUCUUUUAAUUGGAGGCUUGUAUGAAGGGUUGAACAAGAGGCAAACUGUCUCGGAGACAAGGUUUGAAAUUAACUUUUAAGUGAAAAGGCUUGAAUAUUUUAGAGGGACGAUAAGACCCUAUAAAGCUUGAUAAUUUUAUAUAUAAAUAAAUAAGUUGUUAGUGUUAUAUCAUCUAUUUAUAAAAUUAUUUCGUUGGGGCGACGAUAAUAUAAUUUGUAACUGUUUAAGAUUUAGAUUCAAAUAUAUUUGUGUUUUAAUGAUCCAUUAAUUGUUGAUUAAAAAUUUAAGUUACUUUAGGGAUAACAGCGUUAUUUAUUUUGAGAGUUCAUAUCGAUAAAAAAGUUUGCGACCUCGAUGUUGAAUUAAAAUUUCUCUAUGGUGCAGUAGUUAUAGGGAGAGGGUCUGUGCGACCUUUAAAAUUUUA
rnacentral:rRNA from 1 species